rnacentral:rRNA from 1 species
AUUGAACGCUGGCGGCAGGCCUAACACAUGCAAGUCGAACGAGUGGCGGACGGGUGAGUAAUGUCUGGGAAACUGCCUGAUGGAGGGGGAUAACUACUGGACACGGUAGCUAAUACCGCAUACCAUCAGAUGUGCCCAGAUUGUAUGAGCUUGUUUGUGUGGUAACGGCUCACCAAGGCGACGCUCCCUAGCUGGUCUGAGAGGAUGACCAGCCACACUGUAACUGAGAUACGGUCCAGACUCCUACGUGAGGCAGCAUUGGGGAAUAUUGCACAAUGGGCGCAAGCCUGAUGCAGCCAUGCCGCGUGUAGGAAGAAGUCCUUCGUUUUGUAAAGUACUUUCAGCGGGGAGGCGUUAACCGAAGAAGAAGCACCGGCUAACUCCGUGCCAGCAGCCGCGGUAAUAC